rnacentral:pre_miRNA from 1 species
AGUAGAAUUGCUGGGUCAUACAGUGAACUUACAUGUAACUUCAUGAGGAACUAUCAAACUUUUUGCAAAGUGGCUAUAUCAUUUAUCUUCCUACCAGCAAU